AUGUAAUGUGAAUGCAGAUCUUCAGUGAAUCAUCGAAUCUUUGAACGCACCUUGCGCUCCUCGGUGUUCCGAGGAGCAUGCCUGUUUGAGUGUCAGUAAAUUCUCAACCCCUCUCGAUUUGCUUCGAGCGGGUGCUUGGAUGUUGGGGGCUGCCGGAGACACUGGAUUCGUCCAGGACUCGGGCUCCUCUUAAAUGAAUCGGCUCGCGGUCGACUGUUCUGACUUUGCAUGACAAGGCCUUUGGCGUGAUAAUGAUCGCCGUUCGCCGAAGUGCAAGACAGAAUGGUCCCGUGCCUCUAAUGCGUCNACGCCUCUAGGGGCGUCUUCCUCAUUGACGUUUGACCUCAAAUCAGGUAGGACUACCCGCUGAACUUAAGCAUAUCAAUAANCGGAGGAAAAGAAACUAACAAGGAUUCCCCUAGUAACUGCGAGUGAACCGGGAAAAGCUCAAAUUUUGAAUCUGUCGGUCUUCAGGCCGUCCGAGUUGUAAUCUAGAGAAGCGUC
rnacentral:rRNA from 1 species